GGGCCUUUAGCUCAGCGGUUAGAGCAAAGGACUCAUAAUCCUUGGGUCGUGAGUUCAAACCUCACAGGGCCCA
rnacentral:tRNA from 1 species